rnacentral:rRNA from 1 species
UACGAAGGGGGCUAGCGUUGUUCGGAAUUACUGGGCGUAAAGCGCGCGCAGGCGGUCUUUCAAGUCAGUGGUGAAAGCCCGGAGCUCAACUCCGGAACUGCCAUUGAAACUGUAAGACUUGAGGAUGAGAGAGGUGAGUGGAAUUCCCAGUGUAGAGGUGAAAUUCGUAGAUAUUGGGAAGAACACCGGUGGCGAAGGCGGCUCACUGGCUCAUUACUGACGCUCAGGCGCGACAGCGUGGGGAUCAAACAGG